UACGGAGGGGGCUAGCGUUGUUCGGAAUUACUGGGCGUAAAGCGCACGUAGGCGGAUUGGAAAGUUGGGGGUGAAAUCCCGGGGCUCAACCCCGGAACUGCCUUCAAAACUCCCAGUCUGGAGGUCGAGAGAGGUGAGUGGAAUUCCGAGUGUAGAGGUGAAAUUCGUAGAUAUUCGGAGGAACACCAGUGGCGAAGGCGCUCACUGGCUCGAUACUGACGCUGAGGUGCGAAAGCCAGGGGAGCAAACGGGGAAUUAGAGUACCCCCUGUAA
rnacentral:rRNA from 1 species